GAUAACCCUUUAACGUCCAACGUGAAACAUAAAAACAUUGAAACAUGCGCUCUUUUAUCGCGAUUUUUAUUCUAUGAAUUUUUUUAGAGGACUUUUCUCAGUCAGAACGUCUUCUUUGACACCUUAUGCGUGCAUUUGAUGCAUUUGUAACAUGUAAAAUUAAUUACAUUCAUAAAUAAUUGAAAAAAUAAAAUGUUUCACGUUUGGGUCAGCGUAUGACCCAAAAAAACCUUAAAGGGAUAAAGGAGCUAAAAGUUAGGUUACGAAAACCCGGUUUUGGCAGAAAUCAUUCUUUUUCUUCAGGAACACCGAAGAAGAAUAACCUCCGGUAUGGCGUUAUAGAGUUUUCUGAGGAGUUGUCCAAUAAAUAUACAAUUAAAAAUGUAAAAUUAGUGGCAAACAAUCAGAGUGCAGAACACAUAGAAGCGUAAUAUUUGAGGUUGACUUUAGGUAAAAUAUUUUGCGUGAGUGGAGGCAUUUGAUGGGGCGCUACAGAUGGAUAUGUGCAUUAAAAUAACCACAAUGAUACAUCAGCCCCGGUUAGCAUCAUGUUCAGCUUAGUAUCCCUAGAAAUAUGAUUAGUAUUCCCGCCUGAGGCGUCUGAGUUUAAAACUUCAUCUAUGAGAUUCUUUCCGGAAACUGCAGCAAACUCAUCAUGCGAAAGGUAAUAACGACCUGUAAGGCGUCUCGGUGCUUGGACGUCUGGAAAUGUGUUUUCGGUGAUUUUGUUAUACUGAUGUUUAUCAAAGUUCCACUUAGGUCUUGUAAAGACCUUCCUUUUUAAAGUUCUAUAUGUAAGCUAAAGGCAGAACAAUUAAUGUUUACAGCACACGUUGUAAUGUUGUUGUAGCUUCAUUGGUAUCAUGAAGCAAAAUUAAUAUUUAAUACACCUGUUUAGGUGAUGAGUUCUAAUGAAAACUAACGGCAGAGCAAUAUUAUUACUCAUUUAUUUAAAAAAAUACCCUUUAAACUAGGGUAAAUUGCGUUCAUUUGAAGACUAACGGCAGAGCAAAAAUUUAAACAUUGAUAAUAUUUAUAAAUCUUGGAUUAAAUAUUUUUUAAAUAUGUAUAUGUAAAAAUUUUAAUAUACGAGAGAGGAACUAAAA